AAAGUCGUAACAAGGUUUCCGUAGGUGAACCUGCGGAAGGAUCAUUACAAUUCAGUAGCUUGCUACUGUCGGGAGGUGCUGUUAGUCCGCAUAGUUUAAUUACUGAUGAGCGGCAGGCCCUCUGUCUGUACCCUUGUCUUUUGCGCACUCAUGUUUCCUCGGCGGGCUUGCCCGCCGAUAGGACAAACUUAUAACCUUUUUAAUUUUCAAUCAGCGUCUGAAAAAACUUAAUAAUUACAACUUUCAACAACGGAUCUCUUGGUUCUG
rnacentral:misc_RNA from 1 species